UCUCAAAGCCGUGGUGCAUCUAGAGGCCGCGGUGCAUCCAGAGGCCGAAGAAGUGUGAGACACUCAGCUGUGGACCUUGGAGAUGAUCUCUCUCGAGUUCGGAAUCUUUGUUCCGAGCGAAUAGACUUUGAACGUCAACACAUACAGAACCUGAACCCUCAGCAGGCUAUUGACAUCCUUACCAUGGUGCUGGACAGACACUGGUGUUCUCUUUGAUGUACUUGCCCUCUCUGGUCCAAAUGCCACAACACCUCCAACACCCAAUCAACCUUCAUGGUGUGUAUGCUCCCACUGCAGAGAUAUACCAACUGAUUUGGAAAAGAAAUGCUGCCAACAGCCUCCCCAGACAUGUAUUUCAACUGUACCACACAUGGAGGAGUUUAUUCUGCAAAAUUCCCUGACCCCAAUGGUAACUACACAGGUUUUAUUCCAAGACGAUUGUAAAUAAAUGUAUAUAUUUGAUAUUUUACAUAAGUUUGUUUUUAUAUAUUUUUGUUUGAUGCUCUAAUAAAGUGUUCUAAAGCAUAACUCUGUGCUGCAUUUGUAAAAAUACCAUAAAUUUUAAAACUCCUGCACAACAACAAAAAAUUAUGUCAACCUCCAACAUUUUACAUAAAUUUUUAAAUUAUUAGUCCUUAUUUCCCCAAAAUAUAUCUUUAUUUUCAAAAAAAAAAAAAAAAAAAAAAAAACA